CUCCGCUAGACCUGGGCUGCAGGGCCCACCGGCCAACCCUGCACUGGUCCCCUCCCGCCCAGGUUGGCCUGUUGGUCACUGAGUUGUAGCAAGAAGUUGUGGCAAUGAACAAGUCCAUACAUUUAAUUUUGGAACACACAGGACAAUUUAUUGAAGUCAAUCUCAAGCAAAAUCUGAAAUCAGUGGAAUGUCAUUAAAAAUCUUUCCAAAUUAAUCCUCACGGAAGCAAAAAAAAAAAAAAAAAUUGAAUCCCAAAGUAUUUGUAAAAUAAAAAAGGUAACAUCUCAGUAAAUAGAAUGUACAAAAAUUAUAUGUUCCUACCAGCACACACAGUAGUAAGAAGCUUAAAUAUUACAAGCAAUCCUAAUACACUGUAACUAGUCAACAAUAACCUAUCUAUAUACAGGUUAACCAAGCUUUAAACGUUUCACACUAUGCAAUAAAACAUGGGCCAAUCAACAAAAUCCCCAAAAUAUCAUAUAUCUUGAAGUCUAUGUGGCAACAUCAAGUCAUUAUUCAGUAAUGCCCUAGUGGAUCACCCCCCAGGGAAAAUGAACACUAAUCCUUAGUAUCAGGAGCUUCUAGCCAAAUCACAGAAACUCUAAUAAAAGAGAUUGACUUUUAGUGAAUAUUGAUGCUUUGUUAUUAAAGACUCAAGUCUCAAGUGAUUUAGGCAAAAUAACAUUUCACAGGAUCUACAAAGUUUAUUACAGAUAAACAAAGUACAGAAAUAACCAAUCUACAAAGGUCAUUAUCAUAGAUAAAGAUCACGAGGAAAUGAAAACAAAAUCUGUAGGUAUCUGUGGUUGUUGUGCAAUAUCACAAGUGGAUACAAAUGGAUUUCUCAUGUCAAUUCCAAUUAUGCACACACCCUUAUAUAUAAAAAGAACCUUAUUAUUAGCCAGUUGCAAUCAUCAUUUAGCAUCUUAGUUAUCAGUGGCGAUAUGAUUUUCUUGUUUAACAUGGAGGGCAUGUGACAGCACGAAUGAGAUAAUGAGCAAUGUUAGUGACAGUUAAGGAAAAGGACAUUUCAUCCAGUCUGCUUCUAAACUGACAAGAGUUACACCAUAUACACCCCUCAUCUAGGUCAUCUGAUGGAUACUGACGGCAGUGUGCACACAUCAGAAGUCUGGCGGCUGGGGAAGGGGAACCCGAGGGUGCUUUCUUGCCAAUUAGCAGAUGCAGUGAUGUCAUGCAAGAAGACAAAGGACUGGAAUAAAGGACUUUGGCAACUAUUCCUCUUCUCCCUUUCUCUUACAUGCUAAUGACUUUGAGAUGCUCCUGAAGGACGGGUAUUUCUCUACCUCCUCUCCCUUCGUACAAACGUGCCACAUGCACCUGAACUUGUCACUUAAGCCAUGGACUGACUGCAGAAAGAACGGAAAUGGGUUUGAAACACACAGGUCACACCCGGCAUUUCAGGGGUGUAACGUAAGUGCAAAGUUUUUUUUUCCCCCCCUACACAGGCAUCUAUUAAAAGGAAAGAAGAGGUGCGUGGGGAUAGGGUUGACAAAAUAACAAAGUAAAGAACAUACAUAGGAAAUACUCAUGAAAAUGCUGCUGGUAUUUCAUGCAGGAGUCUCUUCCCUGACUACAUGCACUGAAUCUGAGAGACCUACUGUGGACGCUCCCAUGUGCAGAACUUCACCUCUAACUCAAGUUCAAGAGGCGAAGACAGCUCUUUUUUUCCCAGCUGCAAAGGCUCUGGAGCACAGUAAAAGGGCAAGAAAAGACCAAGUGAAUCUAACCCUCCACAAAGGAAUUCCCAAACCGACAGAACUGAAAACAGCAGAGCCCAUGACCGGCUUCGGCCUGCGGACCGGCUCCCUGCUCCUGCUUUCGCGAGGCGGCGCUGCUGGCCAAGGCUGCCUGCAUCGCAGCGGUCUCUUCUUGCACUGAUGCGUCCUCUACUUUUUUCUUCUCCUUUUUUUCCCUUUAAAUAAAAAGAAGGACAUUUUC